CUGGGCACCACCGCGCCGCCACCUCCCUCCCUGCGCGCAGCACUGCCCGGCCUCAUCCUCCCUGCCCCAACCUCCUCCCCUUCUCCGGCGCGGCUCCACCUCCCGUCCACCGGAGCGGCUCCACCUCCUCGUCCCGGCCGGCCAGGUGAUGUGCGCGCAUCAGUUCGCGCGAGGCCCGGCUGCCAGGCACCCUUUCGCCAUUUGGCGCAACGCCAUGGGUAAAGCCAGAGAUGGAGCUACCGGUUCCAGCACCGGCACCUGCGACGUCAGUCCACCGACGUGCUUGGCGCCGUCCACAACUCCAUCGCGCUCGAGCCGAUCAUCUUCCUCAAUGUUCUGGCCACGGCUCCCCACUGCCAAACACGAGAUCCCAACCACUUCUUCUGUAAAAACUGAAGUUAUCUGAAACGCUGGCAGUCUACAAACUAUAUUAUUGGUAGUAGCUGUUCAAUGUAUAUAUUAGAAGAAGUAAAAAAGGAAAAAGUGGUGCCCGUGCAUGAGGACAUGAGGUGGCACCACACAAAGCAGCAAUAAUAACACUGAAUGGGGCUUGUUGAUGGCAAGCAUAUCUGAAGACUCUGGUGAAGAAACACCACUACAGGUGGCACCACUACAUGUUUUUGUCAGGCUCGCCUUUUCGAUGCGCAAAAUGAUGAGGGAUAAAGCUCUGGUCAGGAGACUUUCUGCAUGCGAGACAAUGGGUUCUGCAACAACAAUUUGCAGUGACAAGACUGGAACAUUAACUUUAAAUCAGACGACUGUUGUUGAGGCAUACUUUGGUGGUGAGAAGAUGGAUCCUCCAGAUAACACUCAGAAGCUAUCUGCUGCUAUAUCAACAAUGAUUAUUGAAGGAAUUGAUCAGAAUACAUCUGUAAGCAUAUUUGAGCCGGAGGUCAGGCUAUACUUAUAAAUUUACGUCACAUGCACUUUUUCAUCCACGAAUCUGAACAUCUUUUUCUUCCUUUUAACAUGUUAUGGUUUAGCUGUGUGGCUUAAUGGUGGUGGAGGUUGUUCUGUAGACUGCCUCUAGUGCUCGGGCCACGGCAUUCACCGCCACCACUCCAAACCAUUCACCAUCGCCUUACGAGUCCGUUCAACAACAGAGGGGGCGUCAUGCUGCGGGUGGACGUGGUGUUGUGCUAGGGUCCUCGAUAGUUAGUGCUCCUUCAUAGAGGAGCACAGGCGGCGGCUGGCAAAAAUGCACGACACAGCGCUCUAUCGGCCUUCCUCCUCUUGCUGGGAGGCUGUCAGCUGGUUGUUGACUCGUUCUGUGUGCGGUGGAAGAGAACUCACUCGUCCCAGCUGCUAAAUUUCUUGCAUCUGAGUGCAUCACAAAAAGUGGCAAAAAGAAAAUGGAUAAAAAAGGAGUUCUCACAUCAGGUGACAUGCCAAAAAGAAUCCAAGCCUCACAACUCAACGCGGGGUCAGACCAGAUGACCAACAUCUCUCUUGCUUAGUAUGACAAGGAUGUCAAUGAUAAUGAAAACCUCCCUCACAGCAGAGCGGCGGAGUGCAUCCUUGCCAUCUACAUUUCAGAGCCCCAUCAGUUCAGCGUGUUAGGGAGUGGGAGGAGAUAGAGCAGGGGAGUGGGAGGCCCUUCCAUGGCAAAUUCGUUGGCAUCUUCCAUGGAGAUUGCGACCUCUCUUGAUUUUUUGCUUGAGGAUUUCACCUCUGGAUCUGUCCACUGUAGUUCUUGUAUAGAGGUGUCCUUUUUUCUAGUGUUCCUCAAUGUUGAUGCAUGUGUUUAAUAACCCACUCAUACGAAUUCUAAAAACAAGCUUCAGUACAAGAAAAAUGGGUCGUCCAGUUCAAUUCUGAAUUAUAGGUGUGUGUAAACACAUCCUCCUUACACAGUAACUAAUUAACUAUGGUACCAUGUUCAGACUUCUACAAAUCCCGAAACUAUGCAGAGUUAGGAUUGUUACUACCUUGUUUCUUACUAUUGAUUCAUUUUUAUACUAUAUUGAGAUGGUACAUGUAGUUGGACAUCUCAAUAUACCGGUGAUUGCUUCUUGCUGCCUCUAUUUUUAUCAUGAUUUGGUGUGUGCACUGCAGGAGUGUUUUUGUUCCUAGAUCAUUUGCUCAACGACAGAAUUGUGUAUGGCACAGUACAUGUAUUACUACUAUGAACAUUCAGAAAUAAGAACUCAAAGAAGUAUUGACAGCAUAGCUACUGUAUAUUCAAGGAGUCGGGUUUUGCUCCUGCGUCAUCUCGUCUCCUCCGUUCAGCAAAAGCCUCUAGAUAAGUUCACACAUAUGGUUUUGUUCUUUCUAUAAUUCUUGAGUCCAGACUCCUUCGUUUUUUGUUCCUGAGAAAUUAAAUAAACCUGUAGAAGUUUGGGGUAUAAAAUUCUGUAAGUUCGAAAUCGGGAAACUGGUAAGUGCAGACAAAAUUAAAAUUGUCAAAGAACAUGAGAGUGUUUGUCAAAGAAUUGAGGCUUCCCCACGACAGUACAAACUUUUUAAAUGUUUGAAUUUUGUUACAGCAAAAACUGAAUGGGUGGCAAGAUGAAUAUAAUUAUUAUUAAAAGUUUCUUUUUGAACUUCUCGGGUUAAUAUACAUGAACUUGAUUAUAUUUUUAACCAGUUAAAUAUACAUGGUUGGCAAGAUGACUAUAGUUGUUAUAGCAAAAACAAUACAUUUUUCAAGAAAAGUUUUUGUUUGAACUUCUCCGAUUAAUAUAGAUGAACUCAAUUAUCUUUUUAAUAUGCACUCACAUGAGCUCGUUUGGAUUUGUGUGUAUAUUUGUAACACAAUCAGUUGAGAUCUGGAGAGAUUGUAAGUUCAGUCGGCCUUGGCAUCACGAGCGGGUUCAGUUCGAUCUCGCACAGUGGGCAGGGCCCCUUAUGGUGUGUGCGUCAGGUCUACUCGCACGAGUGGACGUCAGAUCACGCAAGUGGGCAGGUCCCCAAUGCUCGAUCCAGGAGGUGAUAGCUCAUGUUGGCUGGAACUAGGAUGCAAAAGGGUUGACGGAUCCAUGCCGCACAAGCACUGCGCCAUGCUCAGUCCAACCCCGUGGCUUCAGGGUGGCCGAGUUCGUCGCGACCAUCAGUUCGGAGAUCUGCGUCACUGCUCGUGUCACUACCAUGGCCACCUGCAUCACUGUGUGAUCCAUCAACAGCCUCUUGCACAAGGAAAAGCAACAGGAGUAGAGGCGUCUGAGAUGCUCUGUCCUGGCGACUAUGAGAAAGGCAAGUGCUUAUGCGGCUUUUGCUAAAGAAGAAAGGCCUAGCUUAACUGGCAUAGCAGUACUCAAAUUAGGUGUCGAUGUUGUGGAGGCUUUGGAUCUUUCCCUAGUUGCUUGACUCCAAUAAUUAUGCCUUUUGACAUUGUGCCAUUUGGUCGUCCUUUGGCCUUGUAUCAAACUUCUAGUCAUCUUGUUACAUCAGUUCAAAAGCAUAGAGGUGGUAAUGAUGUA